rnacentral:rRNA from 1 species
UACGAAGGGCCCGGGUGUUACUCGUUUUGAUUGGGUGUAAAGGGUAAGUAGGCGGUUCACUAAGAUAAUCUUUGGUCAAAGCGCGGAGUGUUCCUACGCGAAAGCCCGAGUUGAAGAGUGUGACUAGUGUUGAAAAGGGGUUGAGGCAAAUUCAUACGUAAGGGUAGAAUCUUGCGAUGUAUGAAUGAACGCCAGCUGGCACAGGCGCUUUUCCUGUUUCAACAGACGCUGAGGUACGGAAGCGUAGGGAGCAAACAGG